rnacentral:rRNA from 1 species
UGCAGUCGAGCGCWGUCCUUCGGGACCGAGCGGSGGASGGGUUAGUAMCGCGGGGGAACAUACCCUUUUCURCSGAAUAGCCUCGGGAAACUGASAGUAAUACCGUAUAAGCCCUUCGGGGGAAAGAUUUAUCGGGAAGGGAUUGGCCCGCGUUARAUUARAUAGWUGGKGGGGUAAUGGACUACCWAGUCURCRAUCUAUAGGUGGUUUUAGARGAYGAUCCRCAACUGGGGKACUGAAACACKGCCCASACUCCUACGGGAGGCASCRGUGGGGAAUCUUAGACAGGGGGCGCAAGCCAGAUCUAGCCAUGCCGCGUGUGUGAUGAAGGUCUUAGGAUCGUAAAGCACUUUCGCCAGGGAUGAUAAUGACAGUACCUGGUAAAGAAACCCCGGCCUAACUCCGUGCCAGCAGCCGCGGUAAUACGGAGGGGGUUAGCGUUGUUCGGAAUUACUGGGCGUAAAGCGUACGUAGGCGGAUCAGAAAGUUAGGGGUGAAAUCCCCAGGCUCAACCUCGGAACUGCCUCUAAAACUCCUGGUCUUGAGUUCGAGAGAGGUGAGUGGAAUUCCAAGUGUAGAGGUGAAAUUCGUAGAUAUUUGGAGGAACACCAGUGGCGAAGGCGGCUCACUGGCUCGAUACUGACGCUGAGGUACGAAAGUGUGGGGAGCAAACAGGAUUAGAUACCCUGGUAGUCCACACCGUAAACGAUGAAUGCCAGUCGUCGGGCAGUAUACUGUUCGGUGACACACCUAACGGAUUAAGCAUUCCGCCUGGGGAGUACGGUCGCAAGAUUAAAACUCAAAGGAAUUGACGGGGGCCCGCACAAGCGGUGGAGCAUGUGGUUUAAUUUGAAGCAACGCGCAGAACCUUACCAACCCUUGACAUCCUGUGCUAACUCGAGAGAUCGAGCGUUCACUUCGGUGACGCAGUGACAGGUGCUGCAUGGCUGUCGUCAGCUCGUGUCGUGAGAUGUUCGGUUAAGUCCGGCAACCAGCGCAACCCACAUCUUUAGUUGCCAGCAGUUCGGCUGGGCACUCUAAGGAAACUGCCCGUGAUAAGCGGGAGGAAGGUGUGGACGACGUCAAGUCCUCAUGGCCCUUACGGGUUGGGCUACACACGUGGUACAAUGGCAGUGACAAUGGGUUAAUCCCAAAAAGCUGUCUCAGUUUGGAUUGGGGUCUGCAACUCGACCCCAUGAAGUCGGAAUCGCUAGUAAUCGCGUAACAGCAUGACGCGGUGAAUACGUUCCCGGGCCUUGUACACACCGCCCGUCACACCAUGGGAGUUGGUUCUACCCGACGACGUUGCGCUAACCCUCGGGAGGCAGGCGGC